rnacentral:rRNA from 1 species
UACGUAGGGACCGAGCGUUGUCCGGAAUCAUUGGGCGUAAAGAGCGUGUAGGCGGCCACUUAAGUCCUGCGUGAAAUCUUGCGGCUCAACCGCAAGCGGUCGUGGGAAACUGGGUGGCUAGAGUGCGGGAGAGGAGAGUGGAAUUCCUGGUGUAGCGGUGGAAUGCGCAGAUAUCGGGAGGAACACCAAUGGCGAAGGCAGCUCGCUGGGACGGUACUGACGCUGAGACGCGAAAGCGUGGGGAGCAAACAGG